GACGAGCCACACAAACGUUAUUCGGAAUUACUGGGCUUAAAGGGCGCGUAGGCGGCUUGGUCAGUCCCGUGUGAAAUCCCUCGGCUCAACUGAGGAACUGCACGGGAAACUGCCUGGCUUGAGUUCGGGAGAGGGAAGCGGAAUUCCGGGUGUAGCGGUGAAAUGCGUAGAUAUCCGGAGGAACACCGGUGGCGAAGGCGGCUUCCUGGACCGACACUGACGCUGAGGCGCGAAAGCUAGGGGAGCAAACGGG
rnacentral:rRNA from 1 species